rnacentral:rRNA from 1 species
CUGGCUCAGGAUGAACGCUGGCGGCGUGCUUAACACAUGCAAGUCGAACGAGCUUACAUUUACGAUCUCCUCGGGGGUGACGAGAUGUAAGCGAGUGGCGGACGGGUGAGUAACGCGUGGGCAACCUGCCCCAUACAGGGGGAUAACAGCUGGAAACGGCUGACAAUACCGCAUAAGCGCACGGUACCGCAUGGUACAGUGUGAAAAACUCCGGUGGUAUGGGAUGGGCCCGCGUCUGAUUAGCUAGUUGGCGAGGUAACGGCUCACCAAGGCGACGAUCAGUAGCCGACCUGAGAGGGUGACCGGCCACAUUGGGACUGAGACACGGCCCAAACUCCUACGGGAGGCAGCAGUGGGGAAUAUUGCACAAUGGGGGAAACCCUGAUGCAGCCGACGCCGCGUGAGUGAUGAAGUAUUUCGGUAUGUAAAGCUCUAUCAGCAGGGAAGAAAUUGACGGUACCUGACUAAGAAGCCCCGGCUAACUACGUGCCAGCAGCUGC